GUUCAUUCCUCCCGGUGGGUUCGUGGUCUCGCUGGCCUCAGGAGAGAAGCUGCAGACCUUCGCGGUGAGUGUAGCUCAUAAAGGCAGUGUGGACCCAAAGACUCAGCAGCAGCAAGAUUUAUUGCAAAGAGCGAAAGAACAAAGAUUCCACAUUGUGGAAGGGGACCACAGUGGGUUGCCACUUCCAGCUUCGGCAUUCUGCUUUUAUUCCCUUAUCUGGCCUCACCCACAACCUGCUGAUUGGUUAAUUUUACAGAGAGCUGAUUGGUCCGUUUUGACAGGGUGCUGAUUGGUGUGUUUACGAUCCCUGAGCUAGACACAAAAGUUCUCCAGGUCCCCACUAGAUUAGCUAGACACAGAGUACUGAUUGGUGCAUUCACAAACCCUGAGCUAGACACAGGGUGCUGAUUGGUGCAUUUACAAACCUUGAGCUAGACACAGAGCGCUGAUUGGUGCAUUCACAACCCCUUAGCUAGACAUAAAGGUUCUCCAAGUCCCCACUAGACUCAGGAGCCCAGCUGGCUUCACCCAGUGGAUCCCGCACCGGGGAGCUGGUGGAGCUGUGGGUCAGUCCCGUGAGGUGCGCUGGCACUCCUCAGCCCUUGGGUGGUCGAUGGGACUGGGUGCCGUGGAGCAGGGGGCGACGCUUGUCCGGGAGGCUUGGUUGGUGCAGGAGCCCACGGCGUGGGGGAGGCUCAGGCAUGGCGGGCUGCGGGUCCCGAGCCCUGCCCCGCGGGGAGGCAUCUGAGGCCAGGUGAGAAUUUGAGCGCCUGCCGGCACUGCUGGGGGACCCGGCGCACCCUCCGCAGCUGCCGGCCCGGGUGCUAAGCCUUACUUCACUGCCCCGGGCGGGCGGCUCCGCCGGCUGCUCUGAGUGCUGGGCCGCGGAGCCCACGCCCACCCGGAACUCGCGCUGGCCCGGAAGCGCCGCGCGCAGCCUCGGUUCCCGCCCGUGCCUCUCCCUCCACACCUCCCCGCAACUGAGGGAGCCGGCUCCGGCCUCGGCCAGCCCAGAAAGGGGCUCACACAGUGCAGGGCCGGGCUGAAGGGCUCCUUAAGGGCGGCCAGAGUUGGCGCCAAGGCUGAGGAGGUGCCCAGAGCGAGCGAGGGCUGCCAGGGCUGCUAGCAGGCUGUCACCUCUCAAUAGCAGUUUUGUAUAUGGGAUCUAGCCCCUCCCUAAGAGGUUGAUUCUAAGGAAGCCAACAGCCGUGUUGUGAGUACCCAAUGGAAAGUCUGUUGUGGCAGAAAACUGAUGUCUCCAGCCAACAGCACUGAGGCCCUGAGACCUGCCAACUGUCAUGUUACAUCUCAAGGAGAAGGAUUGCCAGAUCAAAAGUCUUGCAGUUAACCAGGCGUGGUGGCAGAUACCUGUAAUCCCAGCUAUUCGGGAGGCUGAGGCAGGAGAAUCGCUUGUACCCGGGAGGCAGAGGUUGCAGUGAGCUGAGACCGCGCCAUUGACUCCUGCCUGAUGACAAGAGAGAAUCUACGUCUCAACAACAACAACACGCUUGGGCACUGUAUUAACUCCAUAAUCGGGUUGACUUAUAGAACUGCAUCACCCAUACCUCCCUGUCUUCUGGCUUCGGAUCAGAUUCACCCAAUAGGACUCUAGCAAAUUAUCAGAAGACAAGAGG
rnacentral:lncRNA from 1 species